CUCGGUCUCGGUCUGUUACAACUUCCAUCUAAUUUCUUUCACUUAAAAGUCACUUUUGUUGUUGCUCAUGUCAUGUUGUGUGGACUUGGACUCAUGUAUGUGAACCUAAAGUCCAUUUUGUGCUACUCAUGUCAUGUAUGUAAGGACUUGGAUAUGAUGUGAGUCAUGUUUGGGUUGCUCAUUGAUGUAUAUGUGGACUUGAAUCAUAUAUGUGAACCUCGAUAUGUUACAAGUCAAAUAUGUGUACUCUAGAUGGUUAUGUCUUAUGGCAUUUGCAAGUUUGAAUAUUAUGUGUUGAAUUAUGUACAUGUGAACUGUAUCUAGAGGAUAUGGCAUCAAAUUGCACGUGAG
rnacentral:lncRNA from 1 species